GGCCCCGGGCGGGCCCGCUUUCCGGCCCGCUCCUCCCUUUCUUCAGCCUCGCCAGAGUUCCGGCUUAGCACCGGCAUCCGCUUCUCUCCCAAGCAUUACGGGGGUGCCUGGCCGCGGGAGUCGGCCGUUUUCACUGGUCUCCCAGCUGGGCAGGUUCGGAGGCCACAUUUGAACCCAGGACCGCCGAGCCACCGCCCGUCUCACGGCCCCUCUCCGCCAGCACUUCUUGAGCCAGGAACCCUUCGACCGUCGUCUUCCUGGGGCUGUCGCAGGCCAGACCGAGGCGAAUUCGGUCUGCUCGGGAGGCCCUUUGGGAGCCGAUCGCGCCCGGCCCCGGCCGCCUCUUCCCGUGUCGGGCCGGCCUUUGGGGCCCCGGAAAGUCUGGUGCUGCCCCCCAGGAAGGGCUGCCUGUGCGGGGCCCCCGUGACCCGCUUCUCUGCUGCAGUUUCUCAACAGGCGCUACUUGUCGGAAGUCGAGGCUCCGAGCCAGACGCCGGAGGCGCGGCGGCCUUGGGAAGCGGGGUACGCCCGGAGGCCCCCUCCGAGCCGGUGCUGGCCAACGCUGGGCGACGCGGAGGGCCAGGAGAGGCCGGAGCCCCUCCUGGCCUGGGAUUCCGGGAAGCCGCAGGCGCCCCCCGAGCCCGCGUCGGCUCCGGCCCGGCGGGAGAGCCCCGAAGAGCAGAAGACGCCGGAAGCGUCCCCCGCCUGGGAGCCAGACGGCCGAGGGGAGCCGCGGAAGCCCUGGGCUGCUCCUCUGCCCGACGAGCCAGAGCCGGAGAGCCGGCCCACCCAGCCGUGGGCGCCCCGCGCCCCGAGCCAGCGCCAGGCCGCCGGGGCCUGGCCCGUGCCAGGCCGCGAAGGCCGAGAGCCCGAGCCCUGGGGAGCCGGCGCCCGGAGCCCGCCGCGGGCCCUGCUGCAGCGCCUGCACUCGCCCCCCGAGGCCUGGGGACCGCCGGAGCCCCGAGAGGUGAGUCGGGGCCCCCUCUGAGGUCUGUCUGUCUGCGGAGUCCCCCGCACCCCCCCCGCCCGAGUGGCGGCCCUCCCGGGCGCGCGGGCAGGUCCGGGCAGAGCGGGCCCGAGGACAGCCGGAGGCCUGCGGGGGCCAGGCUGGCCGCCGAGACCUCCGGGCAGCCCAGCACGCGCACCUUCUCUCCCCGGCAAAGAGGCGGAAGCCACGGGAUUUCCCAGCAUCCUCGGGGCCGGCCCGCAGCCCCCCUCAGCAGCGGGCGGCUCUUCCCGCCUCUCCUGGGGUGGCCCCCCCCCCACGAGGAGGCGAUGGGCGGGCUGUGA
rnacentral:lncRNA from 1 species